GUCCACACUGUAAACGAUGAUUGCUAGGUGUGGGGGGUCUGACCCCUUCCGUGCCGCAGCUAACGCAAUAAGCAAUCCACCUGGGGAGUACGACCGCAAGGUUGAAACUCAAAGGAAUUGACGGGGACCCGCACAAGCAGUGGAUUAUGUGGUUUAAUUCGAAGCAACGCGAAGAACCUUACCAGCACUUGACAUCCAACUAACGAAAUAGAGAUAUAUAAGGUGCCCUUCGGGGAAAGUUGAGACAGGUGGUGCAUGGUUGUCGU
rnacentral:rRNA from 1 species